UGCUUAUACCCAUUGCCAAUUCUGCUUGCAGGUUUACAGAGGGUUCCCAGAUGCCGUCAGUGGAAUUCCCAACCUUGGAGGACAGAGAAAUUGCUCUCCAAUAAUGCCCAGUCUAAGAAGUAAUGUUUUCACGAAGAACUAGUGCACCUUCAGAAGACCUGCAGUGGAUAGGGAGUAUGUAAGGGGCUAAUUUUGAUGCCAGCAACCCUAGGAUUGGUUGCUGGGGAAAGGCAUAGAGUUCUAGGUGCAAUGUUUUAAGGGGAAGACUUACACUAUGAAGCUAGCCCAGAAGAGGGUGACUAGAGUACUGAGGAGUUUCUACCUGGAAGGGCUGUAAGACAACUGCUAUGUUGUGAGCGGCUCUAUGGAGAGGCCCAUGUGGAGGGAAGUGAGGAAGGCCUCUGGCCAACAGUCCAGGAGGAAGUGAAGCCCUCAGUCCAACAGCCUGUGUGGAACUGAACCCUGCAAACAACUCUGUGUGUGAGCUUGGAAGUGGAUCCAUAUUCAGUCAAACCUUGAGAUGGGACACCAUGCUCUGCUAACACUUGAUUGUGGUCCCAGCUAGGCCACUGCUGAAGUCUUGACUCAGAGAAACGAUGAUAUAGUAAAUGUUUGUUGUUUCAAGUUGGUAAGUUUUGGGAUAAUUUUUUAUAUAGUGAUAAUUUUUUAUAUACUUUAAAAUAACACAUUGCCCUAUCCUUUGGUUACACUUUUCUCUUGGAACUCUGCUUGCCCAUAUAUUACAGAAAUAUUUUUCAGAUCAUGGGCUGAAAGGUGGAUUAUGGAUGCAAUGUUUAAAUUUAGCAAUGUCAUUUAUGACUGUUCAUAUGAGCUUUGCUGCAUAAAAUGUUGAUAUUAAUUUGUUUCCCUUUAAGACAUUCUUAAUGUUUACCUCUCAGUAUUUUCUUUGUAAUCAAUUAAUGUAAGAUGAAUAUAGUUUGUAGGUUUUACCUUUCUUGAUUCGUAUACAAAACACACAACAUCCAACCAUUGUUAUUUAAAGAUUAUCUAGGAGGAGAUGAUGGAAACUCUGUUUUGGGCCACCUUCUUUACACAUUGGGUCUAUUUCCCCUAACUUGAGUAUAUAUUAAACUAGUGGGGGAUUGAGCUACAAAAAUGCUACUUGGUGAGAAUUUUAUUAAUACAAAUACUCAACUCUGAAGUUACGUUUUUGUGGAAAGUUAUCACUUUGGAAUUUGAAUUUUCUUGGAGCUAAGCCACUGGUAGUUGUAAAAGCUACACCUGUAAAUUUGCUCCCUAGAAGAUACUUUCGUUUAGUGACCACUUGUUUCUCUGUGGAUAAAUUCAAUUAUAAAUUACAA